ensembl:lncRNA novel transcript
GAGUAGAUUUAAUAUAAGAACAUCACUGUUCAUUUAUAGGUUUUUUUUGUGUGUAAUUAUGCUAAUGCAUGUACAGUAACCUUUUAAAUUUCAGUUUCCUAAUGUUGGUUGUUAUGCUCAAUCACUUUUGUUUUUUUUUCCUCCUAAAGUCCCAAGACAAAGAAUAUCUCUUGAUACUAUUAAAUAUAGAUGUCUGGACUGAAUUGAGCUUACACGACAAUUGCAGUCAAGAUUCUGCAACUCAGAACGGGCAAACCAGUCUGAAUCAAUUUACCCUGUGAUCCUGUCUGCUGGGAAGCAUUGAAAUAGUAAGGAAGUCUGAUGUGCCUGCAGGUUAAUCCAGCUGUCUGGGUCACCUAAGCAUCAAGGGUGGAAAGGGAGACUGGAAGUGCAAGUCUGAAAGGAGAAAAAAGAAGGUGAAACCAGUCUGCAGGAGAAAUGACUGGGAAUUUAGAAGGAGUGGGCACCCACAAGAGAAGAGAAGACACGAAGUGAGAAAAGGCUGCUGCUUGCCAAGGCACUUUUAAGAACGGGACAUCUUAUCACUUUUCAGUUGUUUGAGCUUCUUGCUCCCCAGACUUUCAGCUAAAAUUGUGGCUGUUUUGUUGGCGGAAAUCAGUGAAAAGAAAAUGAGUUCUGUGUCUAGUUCAGUUUACAGCAGAGGCAAGACGAUGCCUGAAGCAGGUGGCAAGGAGUGAAAGGGGAGUGUGCAUGGAAGCAGCAGGUCAGAGCCAGAGUUUAUCAUGAAAGUCUGAGCCCUCGCAAACAUGGUUCAUGCACAACCCAUAAAAUUUCAUCAAACUCUCAGUCUCAAAAAUUUGUGUAGGAAGAGCCUGACAUGAAUGCUGCAAAUACAUGAUUAUUAUUCCUAGACAUAUCUAAGGGCAUCUAAAAUUAUAAAAUUUAUAGUGAUAUUGCUUAAAUUACAUUUUUGAAUAUCUCACUCAUACAUGUAUUACCUAUAUUAUUAUACUGUUAAUUAUACCUUCAUUGAUUUUUUUUAAAUUUUAUUCUUUUGUUUUAAGUUUAGAUGUGGAUGCAUUUUCUAAAAACUACAAGAUUACCCAAACAGAACCGAUUGAAUUUCAAGGUUAGGAAGUUUUUCUAAUAAUAAUUUAUGGUCCAAGUAUAAUGUGAUGAAGUGUGCUUGUAGGUACCAACCUGAGACUAUAUUUGGCAAGAGUUGAAUAAAAUAUGGGGGAAAUGAUUUCUAGCCUUGUUAGAAAUGCCCUCAGAAUGCAUUGUUAUUUCUAAAGAAUGCUGCAUUGUAUAUAUGCAGAUAUUUUUCAGCCAAAUCGCUGAAUUUGUAGAGAUUUCAUAUCACAUAAGAUUUGUUUCCAAUGCAUUUUCUUCUGAAACUAUAAGAAGACUAGCUUCUCUCUUAAUUUCUAAGAAAAAUGUUAUAAACCUUUAUUAUGAUGGUACAAUUUAUGAAACAAUGUAAAUUUUACAUUUUCACUUUUGAGAGUUAUUUUUCCCCAAGCCUCUGCCUUUUUUGAGUAUUUGCAAAGCUCUGCAAAUGACAGGCGCAUCCACAAUGCAAAGAAUAAUCUUCCUUUGGGGCUGUUCCUGGGGUAGUGAUUAGUAGCGUCUUCACUGAAUAUUUAACUUCCUCAAAACUGCUUAUCUGUGCUGUGGAUCAGUGCAAGAUCUGGGUGAGCUGUUGCUACUUUACAUAAUUAAGUUUCUCUUGCCAAAAAAAGAGAAAGUAACAAAAUAUGAAGCAAAAGAAGCCGAAAGUUGGACUUUUAAAACAUUCUCCCUUCAUGUUAUUUUCUCAUUGAAAAUAACCUGAAACAAAAGCAAAAUAUUUGAGAUUUAGGAGGGAGUUUAUGCAGAUCAGUCAGGUUGACAGCUCACAUUUUCUUGCAAAACUCUUAGGAAUUUUCCUCCGCAAAUCCCUCCGCAGUCAGUGAUAAGUACUAAAUGCCACAAAGAAAACAAUUUCCCAUUGUUCAAAAACUGACUGGUGAAGUAUUGUGGGUGAGGCAAAAAAGAGGGUAGGGAGAGAAAUUCUAUUGUAGGGAAACUAAUGCCAGACAGAGCUAUUAACUCAAAUGUACUGAAAUGAUAGAUAAUUCAAGCUUCUCAUGUCACUUUAAAUUAGUAAAAAAUCACUGCACAGGAUUUGUGCUUAAUCCCAUUUUUUAUAUGUAGAAAAUAGGCCCCAGAAUUAGGUUGACGUGUACUUUUAAUGUGUAGAUAGGACAUCUACUCACUUUCUAGGCAUGUGUGGAUGAAAAAGACUUUGCUUGCUUAGUUGCACGUCAUUCUUAGUUCCUUCUCUUUUGAGUGUGCUAGCGUACCCAAUGGAAUCCCCUCCCCUGUAUUUAUUGAACGCUAUAAUGUAUGGGGGUGUCUUUUCCUGGUUAGUGUAAUAGGAAAAAUUGCAUUUGCUUAUCUAUUGCAAAUGAAAAUCAUCUGGGGAAUAUAAAAAGCAUUUUCAAUUCUGCUACCAUUAUUUCAGAAGCAAUCAAAUGCAGAGGAAUGAAAGUCAAACACGGAGAAAAAUGCUGAUGGAUUGGGCAAUGUGCAUGGCUCUCUGGGACCAUCAUUAUUUCAGUAUUCAAGAGGAAAAUGCACAUUUGAAAGAUGGUAAAUUCCAUCACAUACAAUCAAUCAUUCAUCUCCUCUAGCAACAAUAAUUGUGGAGGAGAUAGUGUUCAGACAUUAACUAGGUAGUCAUCCCUGCUUGUUUGUUAGUUUGUUUCAAGGCAUACUAAAUCUUAUGCAACGUUAUGUGGACAUCUCAGAUGAUUUUCAGAUAUUGGUACUUAGUACCAAUCACCUGCAAAUAAUGAGGUCAAAGUAAACACUGCAACCUCAAAGGGCAAGAUGCUUAGCAUUGUCUUUCAUCUAAAACAUUUUGUCCUUUCAUUCCAGAUUUUAAAAAUAGGUUAUCUGCCUGCAUUUUAUGCAUUUUUCUAUCUUUAUAAUCUGAAGGUGAUUUUAUUAAUACAGUAAAUCUUGGUCAAGUGAUACUUUAGGAAGAUGCUUUUUCUGGGUAAACUAAAAGCCUGACGUGGCUCUUCCUGAUGUUCUUAAAUAUUUUAUUAGCAAUGUCUCUCCUCACCCCUUGCCUAUUCAUAGUCUCUUUCAGUUUAAUGAUAUAAAGCAGGUGGUAGGGUUGUCAAAACUGGGUUUCCAUUAGAAACAAUCUCUGGGAAUGUGGUGUAUUUUCUCCCUUAUUUUUCUCAUUAUUAGAUAUCUCAGGCUCAAAGGCCCAUAUGGCAGUUUGGAGAAAGAUAUGUCCUGUUCAAAACCAAUGUUCUGAGAGUUUGAGAGCCGUGAAAUCAGAUAUCAUAGUUUUUACACUUUUUCAAAGCUUUCAAUUGUGAAUUCUGGAUUUCUCUUUUUCUUUCGAACUCUGAAAAAAGCCCAAUCUCUAACAGCACCUCCCCUCCCACCCCCUUCUGGUACUGGCUGUAGCAGUACUUAGGAAGGGAAGAGUGUCUUACAGGAGGUGGAGACACAUUUAUACACCAGUCUUCAUGCUUGGGAAAAAGCGAUUUAGUCACUGUUAACUUCUUUAAUUAUUGAUGGUUCAGAAAAUGUUAUCUUUCUUAUCUUUUAUUUGUAACACUUUUCCCUAAAUAAAAGUGAGGCUGGAUAUUCAAAUUAUUAUUUAGUGCAAGAAACUAAAAAUAGCUUUCCCUCUUUUUAGAUUUUUUUUGACAACAGAGAUGAUACAUUAUAUG